GGAUGUGAGGGUGAGUGGGCUGGCCAGGCAGGUGUCCCCACUCUUCCCUCAUCGCUCACGUGUGUCCCUCUGGAAGCUGCAGGGUCGGUUGAAGAGGACGUCUGUCCUUCAGUCAAAGAGGUAUGAAGAGUUGUGCUCCUCUGCUGGAACCUCCAAACAAGCUCUCAAGUAAGCCAAUAGUUGAGGCAAGUUACAAAAACAUCUUUAAAAGCAUCUGGCCAGAGGGGUGCCUGGCUGGCUCAGUU
rfam:Mustela putorius furo unplaced genomic scaffold scaffold00334, whole genome shotgun sequence.